GCUCGAGAGUCGAUCUCGUUGGAGAGCUUGUCGUCGUCCCAGUCGAGGCCUUGGAUUUGCUCUUGGCCGCCGGAAGAAUGCCUAGCGGUGUCCACCCGUGCAGUGCUGCCGAGAUCGACUGGAGUGGGUGUGUUUUGGAUCUUGGUUCUCUUCUCACCUGAUCCUCGCGAGCUGCUGGAGCAGCCAUUCUCCAUCUCCAAUCCAAACCCUAGCCUGUCCUGCCAUUCUCCUUUUUUUUUUUUUGAGAAAUGUUUCAGCAGAAAAGAUGCAAGUUUUCUCUCGUCUCGGCCUUCGCCCGUUGUCAGUCAGAGACACCGCCCCUUCUGCCCCCUCCUCUCCGGCGACCCCUUGAAAAAAAAACCUGCUCUCCGGCGGUUCUCCCCCGCUCCCAAACGCCGCUGUCCAGUCUCGCCCGGGCCCGAUGGAUCGUCGGAGGGUUCGACGCUUAGGGGCUGCCAUGCACCCCCUCCUCGCAGCUGCGGCCAGUGACGGUGCCACUCCCAGCACCGCCGCCGCCUCUCAAACCCGCGGCGGGAGCUCCGCAAGUGCCGUCAGGCUCGACGUCGAAGCUGACAUCGACCAGGGGACAUCAUACUUGGCUGAUGAGCAGCACACGAGGGUGGCAUCUGGGAGCUCUUCAGCGAGGCUCAGCGGAGUAACUAAUUGACCUAUCCCUUGAUUCACUCAAAUCUAGUGUUGCUGUGGGUUAAUGACUGAAUGUGUGCUAGUUUCUGCUAUGACAUGCCAACAAUUCUCAGUUACAAUAAUGCAUUCACAUUGCUUUGUCGUUUGGAAAGGCAAUAUGACGUGGAAAACUUUCCUGUCAUCAGACAAUAAGUAGUAUGAACCAGAAUGUAUAUCCUAAAAAAGGAACCAGAAUGUGAAAUUCCAUGAUCUUGAGCAGUUCAAGGCUGCUUGGUAUUGCUAUCUUUAGAUGGGAAAGUAAAACACAUAUGUAAAAUUGCAAGCAUGAGUACAGAUGAAUUUUCCAAGUAAUGGAUCCAGGUAAAAGCCACAAACUAAAGUUCCUCCUUUGAUAUUUUUCUCACAAACACGUGUCUAAACGUGUGUCAUUUUAUAUUAGAAGAAACACCAGGAAGGCGUGAAGAGUACAGAAGAACUAGGCUACAACAGACUGUACAGAAGAAUUAGGCUACAACAGAAGCUCGUACUAUGGAUCAACGCAACCUGCCUGUCAUGACUACCGCAAUACAGCUACGUAUGAGUACAUAAUCUCUACAUAUGGAGACAGACAUGUCUCUUUCUCAAGUUCUUGGCGACAUCGUAAGUUGGCAAUCUCCAGGGAACUAGCUAUUAUUUUUACAAAACAGGGUACUAGAUCUCAUGUCACGGUGCUGUAAGUUGCUGAUUUAUGCGUGACUAAUUAUGUCCACAUAAAGCAAUGAAGGGACGUUUUGAACCAUCAGCAUAAACCAAGUUUGCAAUUACUCAGCCGGGAAGCAAAAUCUUUCUCUCUGAAUAAGUUAUAUUCUGAACUUCUUUUUUCUUAACAUAGCCAACAUAGGCCAGUCUAGGACAUAUGAAACAUAAUUUGCUCUCCAUUGUGUAGAAGAAUGACAGUUCCUGGUGGGGUUUGCGGCUGAAGGAUGCAGUGGCAAACGGUUUAUCAUGGGAUGCAAAGUGCUAUGCAAUACAUUGGGAAGCUUAUUCAUGUAUAAGGAAGCUCUGACAUCAAGAAAGUUCAUUGAAAAGGAAUAGUGAACUUGGGCUCCUGCCUGUCAGCGAGCAGAAAUAUUUUGUCUCUCUGAAUCUCUGACCCCGUUGAGAGUGCACACAGGCUUGACAGUAGUCGCGUCGCAGGGCUAAUGAAAGUUCAGGACACGCCACGCUCGCCCUGUGACAUGAACUGAAUUAUCAGGGAGUGUUCAGAGGAAGGGGCGGGAGCUUGAAACCCGGCACGGGCGUGACGGAAUUGCCUUCCUCCCCACCAGCGUCCCGACUUCUUAACUUGCCUGGCGUAAUGUGUAACAAAUAUAAAGAUGAACUUGUGCUCACUUACAGAGAUUGCAUCACCGUUCAGUUUCCUUUUUUUGUGAGAAUAUUUUCUGUCGCUACUUUCAGUUGUGAGAAUGUUUCCUCCUUCAGUAUUUACAACUCUAAGCUGCUCAUACUGA